AAAAUUAUGUAAAAUUCUUUCAUAUAGUUUGCUAAACAUAUUGAGAUUUAUUUAUAUAUCUAAUAUAAUUCAAAUCCAAGUUAUUAUUUUUGUGUAUUCACCGUGCAGUUUGAUAGAGUCCAUAGAGUACAAGAGUAUGGUUCGCCAGGGACUUGCUGUGUGACACUGCUUACACUUCAGAGUACAAGAGUAUGGUUCGCCAGGGACUUGCUGUGUGACACUGCUUACACUUCAGAGUACAAGAGUAUGGUUCGCCAGGGACUUGCUGCUAAGGUACUGGAUGCUAUUCCUGGGAAGAAAAUAUUUGGAUUGUACCGACUAUUGCCAAUCUACUUCCUUCUUGGCGCAGCUGUUGAAUUUUCUAUGAUCCACUGGCGACCAAAGGGAGUUAACUUUUACGACACAUACAAGAGGAAGCACGUAGAUAAAGAGGCGCGAAGUCAGAUCAACUUUGAGGACCUGAAAGAAAAAGUGCUGAAAGGGAAACAGCUCUAAUAGGUCAGCAGGCCAUGCCAGCAGGUGUUACGUGGGGCGUGUACCUUAGUACGCUGACCGUCUCCCUACUGGCCAUGCUGGCUGGAGCACAGACUGUCCAUUUUGUAUACAGACCUCUGGAGGAUUUCCAAGCAAUGGUUGACAAGCGAAAAAAGGAAAUAAGGGAAGAAAUGAGACAGGAAAAACUCCAGGAAAGUCUGAAAAACAAAACUAGUUCUUAAUCAGUGAUAUAAAUUUUACAAAUUAUUAAAAAUAUAUCUGUAUGUGAUUGUAUUGAAAACUAUCUAUUUAAAUAUAUCUGUUGUGACCGUGUUUAAUUGCGUACAUUUAGCUGCAUUGAUAAAAUGGCACAUAUUGCGGGUAUGUUUGUGAUUCGAUCAAAUCAGAUUUGUUCUAGACUGCUAAAUAGACAGUUAUUCCAGUGUCGUGAAAAGUUCAAACUGCCAGAUAAGCCAGAGUGGAUUGAAAUAGAUCCAAAGGCCUUACCACCUGAGACUGUAUUAGACGAUAGUACAAUCCAGCUGAUAGAAAGGCUGUCUCUGGUAGAUUUCAAUAACAAAGAGGGUGUUGAGCGUUUGAAAAGUGCUAUCAAAUAUGCAGACCAGUUGUGCGUGGUGAACACUGAAGGGCUGGAACCCAUGUAUUCUGUGCAGGAGCAUGAAGAGUUGUUCUUAGAUGAGGAUGUGGUAAGGGAAGGCAAUUGUAAACAGGAAAUAUUGCGCAAUGCAGUGAAAGUUGAGGAAGACUAUUUUGUGACUCCUCCAGGGAAUAUUCCGUUGAAGCAGAAAAAGUUGUUUGAUAAGGAAGGAAGCUGAAUUGUGAAUGUACAUUUAUAGUAAUAAAACAGAUGGUUAUAUAGUUAUGAUUUGUUAAGAUUAUGUAUGAAAACAAUUUUAUUCCAUCGUCUAAGUUAGUUCUUAAACUGAGCUGGGUCAUGGGAAAAUGAGGCUAAUACCAUUUAAGCAAGGUGGACACCUGCCUGCACAAUCGUGCUGUCUGGUCAAUGGCUUCACUAACUGCUAUAAAGUAACACAAGCCUUAUUAGUUUCAUUAGCAGACAGGGUAGGCCCAGACCAGACUGGGCAAUUGCAUAGAUGUGAGAGUUGGUGAGAAGCUACCGGAGAUCAUAUGGCAUAAGACCCAUUUUCGCAUGAUACAGGUUCAUUCUAAGUGGUUUGAAAAUGCUAGAUUUAUUUUGAAUAAACUUGUCAAUAUCA